rnacentral:lncRNA from 13 species
GCUGGAAUCAUUGGCAGCAGCUAGCGUCUCAGGACAUGAAUGUCCACUGAAGCGGAUGUCUUGGAGGGGUUGGUAGAAAGUUGUUUUGUUGAUGAAGAGAAGAAUAAUGUCUGUAUGUGGGAUGACGGGACCAGGGCUUGGUCUGUCUGUGUUCCUGUUGGCUCUGCUUCAUCUUCAAUGCUCAGCCCAGAAAAACUACACUACGCUACCAAAUAACAUAACAGUGACUGUUGGCAAGCCUGCUGCCUUCCAGUGUGGUGUGUCCCCUCCUCCUAGACAACUCAACUUCACCCUCUAUGGUAGCCAUGGAAACAGAACCCUUAUCUGCCCAGGAGACCACACUGAGUACCUGGCUGCCCAGUCAAUAAAAGGGUACUGUGAUAACACAGGUAAGGAGCUCUUUGCAAUAUGGCUUAUCAGUGGGACGUCCCGCUCUGACAACAACACACGUGUGGUAUGUCAGAGCUCAGAGCGACCACUAGUGGAUGGAUACCUCGGGGUGUACGAGGACGGCAGUUACUUUGCCACCCUCAUUGGCUGCGUCAUUGGUGGUUUCUUUGGUAUCCUCAUCGUCAUUGGUCUGUCAUACACUGUGCUCAGGAGAUCUGAGAGGUUCCAGCUCUGUUUCAGGGGAAAAGACCGUGAGGAUGACAUCACCACAAUGGUGACAAAGGAUUAAACACACACCUUUCAAUAAUGUUGGAUUUACUUAUUCAACUUCUUAAGGUGACACUUUGUGGGGGUUUUAGCAUAUGCACAUUUUUAUUGUAAUUUCUAUUUUGUUUUUAUUAUUUGCUUAUCUAGCAGUAUGCAGUUUCUGAUACUAGCAUCAGAUUCCUGUGUUUUUAGUUAACGUAGGAAGUUAAACUAAAUGUUGCAUUUUGAAAAGUUCUUACCAAAGACCAUAUAUCAUAUUCUCUCUCCUAAGAGUAGAGUUUUUUUUUGUUGCCUUCGUUAGUUCAGCCGCAGUUCUUCUAUUUGUCCAGCAGAGAGCAGCCAUGACAGUACAGGAACUGAAGUUCAAUGAAGCUGAGAUACUACUAAAGCGUUUUAAUAAUGUACUAUAAUUGCGUCUCAGACUUUUCCUCCACUCCGGGAAUACUGAAGUUUAUGUUAAUUUUUUAUACUGCGUUUUAUAGCUCCAUUAAUUGUUUUACGGUUAUGCUGGCAGCCAGCUAACACCUGUUUUCACUGCAUAAACAAUAGAGAGCAGGACGUCUGAGUAGCUGUCUAAAGUGUUCCAGUGGAGGAUCAGUAGAGGUGGUGCGAUGUUGACUCAGCUGGCCUGCUAUGUUCUG